CCAAUGUUGGAGGAUACAUGUGACGACAUGAAAUGUUCCUAUUUUCCAAAGUUUUCAUCUACCAAGUCGUUCAUGUACGGUUUAGCACUGUUAAUUUAAGUUCACUCCUCAAAGUAAUAGAUUCUAUGACAGAAGAUUCUUGGUCCUAAAUUUCUGAUUCAAAAAUGGGAAAAAUUUCCAAGAUAUAAAAGAUAAAGAUAUUCACCAGUAUUCCAGUUAAAUGUAUAACAUAAUAGAACAAUAUGAGUAAUCAUUGAGUCGCCUUUUCCAGAUGUGUCAGAGAAAACCUCCUCUGACUAUAAUGCCCAUGGAAAAUCACCUUAAUUCCAGAAAGUGGGGGCUGACGGGACACACUGUUGAGAGGAUCCAACAUUCUGCUGCUGCCAGGUGUUGAGGAAAUGCACACACCCUCAUGAGAGAGACAUAAACCGUCACAGAGCCUCAGAAGUGGAUGAAACUUCUUGGCCUGGAGGAUUAAAAAAAAA
rnacentral:antisense_RNA from 1 species